rnacentral:rRNA from 1 species
GCGAACGACGUGCCAGGAGGCGGGGUAAGACGGGGGUGGGAAGGGUUGUCCGGAAGUAUGGUGCGGAAAGCGAGCGCAGGCGGUCCUUUAAGUCUGAUGUGAAAGCCCACGGCUCAACCGUGGAGGGUCAUUGGAAACUGGGGGACUUGAGUGCAGAAGAGGAAAGCGGAAUUCCACGUGUAGCGGUGAAAUGCGUAGAGAUGUGGAGGAACACCAGUGGCGAAGGCGGCUUUCUGGUCUGUAACUGACGCUGAGGCGCGAAAGCGUGGGGAGCAAACAGGAUUAGAUACCCUAGUAGUC